CCACGACCUUCAUCCUGAGUUUUGUUUCUCAGUCAGUGCAUCACCCCCCUCCCCCAGCUCCUUUUUUUUCUUUUUUGAGACCAAGUUUCUCUAUGCAGCUUUGGCUGUCCUGAAUUCACUAUGUAGACCUCUGUCUCCUGGCUUAGUACUCAUUCUUAUGGGAGAGUUCACAUGUGCUUUAUAAGAGUUUUCUUUGUUUUUCAAAGGGUUUAUUAGGCUUAUACUUAAAAAAUUAAUUUAUUUGUAUUAUGUUUGAGUGCUGCAUUUGCAUGUACAAUUUUAUGUCAGAAGAGGGCAUCAGAUACCACUGUAGAUGGAUAUGAGCCAUCAUUUGGUUGCUGAGAAUUGAACUCAUAACCUCUGGAAAAGCAGCCAAUGCUCUAAACCACUGAGCCAUCUCUCCAGCCCCUGAAAAAGAGUUUUGAUAUAGUCACACCAUAAACAUUAUUGCCAUAAUUGCCACCAGGAACCUUUCCCCAAAGUUGUAGUGUGUUUAAAUAAAUAUGUCAAAAAUAAACUCCCUGGGGAAGUUUGAACCAACACUGACUACUGAGUCAUGUUGAACCAGAUUUCCUUCUUGCAUCAUGAAGAUUGACAGCAGUGGCAUUUGUAGGGACUCCCCACAAGUAGACUUUCCCGGAUAGUCAUUGUUGCUAAGAUUCAGUCUCUUCCCGUCAAGACCUGGACUUCUUCCACGUCAGCUCUCCUGGUAAUAACGCACACAGACGGUGUGACAUCGAGUGCAUCAACUACACAGGGCUUCUUCCCAGCACUGCUGGUUUUUUUUUUUUUUGUUUAUUCCUACCUUUGAGCUGAAGGGACCAGACCCUCACCCAGCCCCCUGCUUUAGCAGUCAUGACCAGCUACAGAAAAGACCCAGCAAGAUGUAGGCCUCUGAUUCAGCACUUCUGAUCUUGCUGGACCUUUCCCAGUCACCAGGAAGCCUCCACGUGGCAAGAAACCAAUCAGACAUUAGCUGGUAGGCUCCGGCCAGUGCUUUCCGGGCUCUGGAUGUGUCUUAUGAUAACAAUGGUGUAGCAGUGGCUUGCAGAGCAUAGCAACCACCCUGGGAGGGCCUAUUGGCCAUAGCAACCAGUUGACCAAUCAACACAGGACAGGUCACCCAAGCCUGGAAGUGUACCAGUCCUGAGACUGUUGCAUAUCUCUAGACACUCCCCUUGCUCACCCCAAUAUAUUCCCUGCCUCUCAGCCCCUCUAGGUCUUUCUCACUGCACCCACAGUGUGGGAUGGACAGAGAUAAUACAGUUAGCUUGUUAAUAAUAAAAGACUCUUUGCUUUUGCAUUGGAAUGGGUUUCUUCAUGAUUUUGGGCUUCAGAAUUUGGGCACUACAGAGCUACAUCCCCAGGCAAGGGGCUAUGUCUCCUCAGAAGCCUUCUGUGACUAUUACUUCAAAAGCAGCUGUGGUGGCAGGUAGGGGUGGAGAGAUGACUCAGGUUAAGAGUACUGGUUGCUCUUCCAGAGGUCCUGAAUUCAAUUCUCAGCAACCACAUGGCGGCUAACAACCAUCUAUAAUGAGAACUGGCGUGUAGGCAUAUAUGCAGGCAGAACACUGUAUACAUAAUAAAUAAAUAAAUCUUUUUUAAAAAAGGUGAUGGUGGUACACACCUUUAAUCCCAGCACUUGGUGAACUCGAGACCAGCUUGGUCUACAAAACAAGUUCCAGAACAGCCAAGGUUACAAAGAGAAACCCUGUCUCAAAAAGCAAACUCCUGCAUCAGAAUGUAGCUUAACAAAUAUUAAGUAUGCCUGGAGUUGUAGUUGACUAAUUUAAUUAAUUAACUCUACAUCUCAAACGCAUUGAUGUCAUGUUUCAGAAGGCUAGACAUAUACAAAUUAGGCUAUUUUCCAAACAUUAAUUAACAGCGCUCCUGUGAUUUCCCUGAGGGAUUGUGUGAGGGUGCAUUCUACAUUAGGUUCCAAGACACAAAUAGAGCAAAAUGAUACAUGCUGGGUCACUGGUGACUCAGUGUCUGGGAAUAGGAGCACUGCAUAACCUUUGCUCUGAUUAGUUCACACUCAAUAACAAGACAGCCAUGACCUCAGCUAUCUGGCAUCUCUGGAAUUGAAAACCUGGACUAAUUUUGCUUUAAUGACAGUAUUUACUAUGGUUUGGCUCAAUCCACACAAAGCCUUUUACUUUUUCUCUGUGUGUUUUCAUGUGUAUGUACAUUUGUGAGUGUGCGUAUAGAUGUAUGUAGGUAUAUGUGUAGAUGUAUGCUCCUGUGUAAUGGGUUGUUUUUACUUUUUGCUCUUUACUUUUUGCUCUUUUGUGGCCUGACAUCCAGCUCUCAAAUAAAUAACAUGGAGGUUUAUUUUUUAUUAUGAAUGCCCAGCCUUAGCUUGACUUGUUUCUAGCCAGUUUUUCUUAAAUUAUCCCAUCUACCUUUUACUCUGGGCUUCUCUCUCUCUCUCUCUCUCUCUCUCUCUCUCUUUCUCUCUCUCUCUCUCUCUCUCUCUCUCUCUCUCUCUCUCUCUCUGUGUUUUUUCAAGACAGGGUUCUCUGUGUAAUAGUCCUUGUUAUGAUAAAUCUUUCCACCAAAAGCUGCACAAGCCCUACCACAUGGGCGGUCUCUGCCAGCCACCUGAGUUCUGCCCGCACGUGGAUGGACAAAAUUAUACAGAGACUUAUAUUAUGUACAAAUGCUGCUUGGCCGAUGACUAGGAUUUCUCAUCUGCUAGUUCAGUCUUAAUUAUCAUAAAUCUAUAUAUUUUAUAAGACUUAUCUUAUUGGACACCUUUCAUUGGCGUCCUCCCUUGCUGGUGGAUCAUAU
ensembl:lncRNA